rfam:Planktothrix tepida PCC 9214 isolate BBR_PRJEB10993 genome assembly, scaffold: BBR_B_PL9214_scaffold26
GCUGCUUUAGCUCAGUUGGUAGAGCGGUUCACUCGUAAUGAACAGGUCGUCGGUUCAAGUCCGAUAAGCAGCU